rnacentral:rRNA from 1 species
GAUGAACGCUGGCGGCGUGCCUAAUACAUGCAAGUCGAGCGAACAGACGAGGAGCUUGCUCCUCUGACGUUAGCGGCGGACGGGUGAGUAACACGUGGAUAACCUACCUAUAAGACUGGGAUAACUUCGGGAAACCGGAGCUAAUACCGGAUAAUAUAUUGAACCGCAUGGUUCAAUAGUGAAAGACGGUUUUGCUGUCACUUAUAGAUGGAUCCGCGCCGCAUUAGCUAGUUGGUAAGGUAACGGCUUACCAAGGCAACGAUGCGUAGCCGACCUGAGAGGGGGAGCGGGCACACGGAAGCAGACACACGGAACGGACGACAACGGGAGGCAGCAGUAGGGAAUCUUCGACAAGGGUCGCAAGACUGACAAACAAAGGUAUAGUGAAAGAAGAAGGUCUUCGGAACGUAAAACUCUGUUAACAGGAAAUAACAAAUGUGUAAGGAACUAUGCACGUCUAGACGCUACCUAAACAGAAAGCCACGGCUAAGUACGUG